CCUACGGGUGGCAGCAGUGGGGAAUAUUGCACAAUGGGGGAAACCCUGAUGCAGCGACGCCGCGUGAGUGAAGAAGUAUUUCGGUAUGUAAAGCUCUAUCAGCAGGGAAGAAAAUGACGGUACCUGAUUAAGAAGCCCCGGCUAACUCCGUGCCAGCAGCCGCGGUAAUACGGAGGAUGCGAGCGUUAUCCGGAUUUAUUGGGUUUAAAGGGUGCGCAGGCGGCCUGUUAAGUCAGCGGUAAAAGCCCGGGGCUCAACCCCGGCGAGCCGUUGAAACUGGCGGGCUGGAGUUGGAGAGAAGUACGCGGAAUGCGCGGUGUAGCGGUGAAAUGCUUAGAUAUCGCGCAGAACCCCGAUUGCGAAGGCAGCGUACCGGCUCCACACUGACGCUGAGGCACGAAAGCGUGGGUAUCGAACAGGAUUAGAUACCCUGGUAGUC
rnacentral:rRNA from 1 species